UUGACGGGGCCCGCACAAGCGGAGGAGCAUGUGGUUUAAUUCGAUGAUACGCGAGGAACCUUACCUGGGCUCGAACGUAAGAUGACUGUAGGUGAAAGCUUACAUCUCUUCGGAGCAUUUUACGAGGUGCUGCAUGGUUGUCGUCAGCUCGUGCCGUGAGGUGUCGGGUUAAGUCCCAUAACGAGCGCAACCCCUACCUUUAGUUGCCAUCAGGUAAUGCUGGGGACUCUAAAGGAACUGCCUACGCAAGUAGUGAGGAAGCGGGGAUGACGUCAAAUCAGCACGGCCCUUACGUCCAGGGCUACACACGUGCUACAAUGGCCGAUACAGAGGGCAGCUACCUGGUGACAGGAUGCAAAUCUCCAAAGUCGGUCUCAGUUCGGAUCGGAGUCUGCAACCCGACUCCGUGAAGUUGGAUUCGCUAGUAAUCGCGCAUCAGCCAUGGCGCGGUGAAUACGUUCCCGGGUCUU
rnacentral:rRNA from 1 species